CCCUUAGAUGUCCGGGGCUGCACGCGCGCUACACUGAAGGAAUCGGCGUGCUAAAACCAUUGUCGAAAGGCAUUGGUAAACCCAUUAAAAUCCUACGUGAUUGGGAUCGGGAAUUGCAAUUAUUUCCCUUGAACGAGGAAUUCCCAGUAAGUGUGGGUCAUAAGCUCGCGUUGAUUACGUCCCUGCCCUUUGUACACACCGCCCGUCGCUGCCCGGGACUGAGCCGUUUCGAGAAAAGCGGGGACUGCUGCUGUCGGGGCUUUCGGGCCUUGGCUUCGGUGGAAACCGCUUUAAUCGCAGUGGCUUGAACCGGGCAAAAGUCGUAACA
rnacentral:rRNA from 1 species